UGGGGAAUAUUGGACAAUGGGCGAAAGCCUGAUCCAGCCAUGCCGCGUGUGUGAAGAAGGUCUUCGGAUUGUAAAGCACUUUAAGUUGGGAGGAAGGGCAGUAAGCGAAUACCUUGCUGUUUUGACGUUACCGACAGAAUAAGCACCGGCUAACUCUGUGCCAGCAGCCGCGGUAAUACAGAGGGUGCAAGCGUUAAUCGGAAUUACUGGGCGUAAAGCGCGCGUAGGUGGUUCGUUAAGUUGAAUGUGAAAGCCCCGGGCUCAACCUGGGAACUGCAUCCAAAACUGGCGGGCUAGAGUAGGGCAGAGGGAGGUGGAAUUUCCUGUGUAGCGGUGAAAUGCGUAGAUAUAGGAAGGAACACCAGUGGCGAAGGCGACCACCUGGGCUCAUACUGACACUGAGGUGCGAAAGCGUGGGGAGCAAACAGG
rnacentral:rRNA from 1 species